UUUUUUUUUUGUAGGGGUUGCUUUCAUUAAAUUCUGGAAGACAUCUUAAUCUUUGGGCUGUUUUUUUUUUUCUUCUAGGGAUCUACUACUUUUGAGGAAGAAAAGGACUAAUCUGCAAUAUUAAAGAGGAACAAAUCACUUUGUCUAAUGCUAGCAUCCAGUGCGAGGUUAACAGAAGACUUCUGCAUGCUGUGUGUGAAGAUGGAAGCACACUUUAGUGUGCUUGGGGACUGAGUAUAAAAGCAUGAGGCUUCUCAGCUUAGAUAAAAGCCGAUUAAUUAUCUUCAGAGAUCAGGACAUCUUUAUGUUAAUUGAUGGAGGAAUAUAGACCUAGUAUGGAACUUUUUUUCAUUAAAAAU